CCAAACUUGGUCAUUUAGAGGAAGUAAAAGUCGUAACAAGGUUUCCGUAGGUGAACCUGCGGAAGGAUCAUUACCAAUGUAGCGUCGUCUACAACAUUGUGAACUCGUGACUGCUAGGGUAUCAGGGUAUCCUUGGGUGCUUCUGUACUUGGGGGUAUCCUUGACUGCCACUGCAGCCCUGGGCUGCGUGCCCGGGGGAUAAGAACCGAUAACAUGUCUGACAAACACACAAACGAUACAACCUUUAACAAUGGAUCUCUUGGUUCCUGCAUCGAUGAAGAACGCAGC
rnacentral:misc_RNA from 1 species